UACAGAGGGGGCAAGCGUUAUUCGGAAUUAUUGGGCGUAAAGGGCGCGUAGGCGGUUCUUCAAGUCUCUCGUGAAAUCCCUCGGCUUAACUGAGGACGUGCGGGAGAUACUGAAGGGCUUGAGUCCGGAAGAGGGUGGUGGAAUUCCCAGUGUAGCGGUGAAAUGCGUAGAUAUUGGGAGGAACACCGGUGGCGAAGGCGGCCACCUGGGCCGGAACUGACGCUGAGGCGCGAAAGCGUGGGUAGCAAACAGG
rnacentral:rRNA from 1 species